UAAAUUUGUUUAAAUAUUUUAAAUUAAGAAAUAAUAUUAUUACAAAUCUAUAAAUUUAUCUAAUUUCUUAUGUUUUGUAUAUAUAAUUUUGAAAUUCAUCAUAAUAAUUUUAUGAUUAAAUUUAAAAACUAAAAUAAGUCAUAAAUGUAUAAAACAUAUAAAAUAAAUAUAUAAUUUGUUAACGUUUAGGUCUCCACUAAAUCCCGUAUAAUUUGCUUAGUCGCUGAUCUUCUAUAAAACGCCUAGUUACGCCUACCAAUUUUUAAAACAUUGACUGUAACAAUUAGAAAAUAAAAAGUUGGAAAAAGAAAAUUGGGCGUCGUCAUUGAUGGUCUCGCGUGGCUGCUUAUGGAAAUGGAGAACACGCCAUUCUUUUGGGAUGAUUACUACAAUAUCAUCUUUCAACCAACGCCAUUAUAUUGUAGUAUGUAUGCCAUUCUCAUAAAAUAAGUAGUUUUUUUUAAUCAUCUCUAUUAAGGUUUGCUGAUAAAGUCUUACAACUUAAUUCAGUCAGAGUCAUACAUAGGGUCAUACAUACUACGAUAGAACUUCUAUAAAUUAAAAAAGUUGAAACUUUAAAAUUUUAUUAAUUUUUAUAGAUAUUAAUUUAUAAAAGUUUCUUUAUUUAGAUUUUUUAUUUUAAAAGAUAUUUGUUUUAAAAUAAGAAAAAUGUUUGAUUUUAGUGUACAAACAUUAAUUGUUAUUUUUUUAAUUUGACAUUUAUAUUAAAUGUAUUAUACUAUUUGGUGUAUAUAAUAUAUAUUGCAUAGAAUUUAAAUAUGGUUUUAAAUAUAAUAUUACUAAAUCCCAUCAAACAUAUAAAGAUAAUUCUAUUGUGAAUAUAUAACAAACAAUAUAAUAGGUUGUUACUUAUAUAAAAUAUGUAUACAUAUAAAUUAUUAAUUUAUAAUUUUAAUGCGAUCAUAUAUUUAUAUAGAAUUUUUUAAAAAAUAUUAUAUUAUUAUUUUAUCGAUUUGUGUCAAAUUUUAAACCGGUCUAAUUUAAAACAGAUAAAUUAAUUAAUUUAUCGAGUAUUAAUUGCCGACAGAAUUAAUUAGCUCACGUUGUCUUGAUUUCAUCUAUCGCCUAACAAAAGUCGAAACCAUACGUUUAAAAAGAAACGUAAUCGAGUAGAUUUUGACCAUGAUCGGUUAGUUCCAUUGAGUCUCCUUAAGGCAGCUUAAUUCAGUCAGGGACAAUACUCUAUGUAAUAUGUGUAUGUAUAUGUAUAUUACCACGUAUCAGUGUAUGUGUGUUUAUACGUAAAAACACUCACAUUUACCAAUCAGUAGACCACAUGGCAAGGCGCACGCGCACAAACGUAUUUAUAGUAUAGAAUUAUAGAUAAUAGAAUGCUACAAACAUGGUACAUUGUUUUUUUAGGUUGGUACUUAUCGACCGACGAUAUAAUAGUAUAUGGACAUUAACUGAUUAACUUGCUCCCACUAAGGAAGUCAGUGACCUGACAAAGGCGAUUUUUUCAUGGUGGAGCAUUAUUUCCCGAAUACACAUACUAUCUAAUCUGUAUAAACACACGCAAGUAAUUUGUUUUUGCCAAUCAGUGUGUAUAAAUAUAUAACUUAAUCAAGAUUAUAACUUAACUAACAUUUAUUACAGUCUUAUAUAAAUUAGGUUAGCAUUUAUAUUUUGGACAUGCAGUGCAUGGUCUUUCAAACAAAACCACCCCAUGUGAAUAAUUAUCCAAGUAUCAUUUUCAAAAUCCAAAAUAUCACCAAUGUGUUAUUUUCAAAAUUUAAAUUUAUCUAAUAUCACCAAUGUGUUAUCCGGCUUAUUCGUCUCAGAUUUUCACUAAUAGGUAUAGUUUUGCAACUAUCUAGAUAUAAUAUCUUAAUACCACUUAAACUACAAAUCAGAUAUCUAAUUCAUUAUGGAAAACAGUUAAAUUAACUAUAAUAAAUAAACAAUAAACAAUUAUUUUGACUGGGAUACAAAUUCUUAUCAUUUACAUGUAGACAUAAUAAUUAUGCAUCUUGAAUACUUCAUUAUAUAUAUAUACUAGGAUCAGUCCGUCCUACCGGCAGUAUAAUACUUUACUUGUAAUCUAAAUUAUUAUUUUUUGUAUAAUUUUUUAGUUUGUGUUUUAAGAUUUCAUUUGCAAGAAAUGUGUACGAUAAUGAUCUUUUGUCUUUUAAAAAGUUAUAGGUCAGGAGAGAUUAUAUGUAAUAAAAUAUAUUUUUUUGUUUACAAAACUUGUUUAUGUUUUCCAAAAAAAUAAUAAUAGUUGUCUAUGUAUUAAAAUAUUGUGGUAUUGAUAUACUGUGAGCGUUUUAAAUGGUCUUCAUGUUGUUUCAUUUUACAAAAAAAAAUUGAAUCUAUACUAAAGUGUACUAAUGGAGGUUAUAUUAUUUUCUAUAAUUUUAAAUUAAGUUUUGAUUUCAUAUGAAUUUAAAUAUACCUUAAAUAUACAAUGAACCGCGCAAAUAUAUUAUGGUAGGUAAAUAAAAAUUUUGUUUUGUUUUAUUUAUUAUGAACAAAAUAAAAUUAUAUGUACUAAUAUUAUUUCAUUUCCAUAACUGAAAAAAAUAUUCAAGAAAGUAAGCUACAUGAAUAAAAGUUAAUUAAAAUUUAGAUAUAUCAAAAUAUCUUUUAUCUAGUUCAUUCAAAUUUUUAUGUAAAAAGUAAUUUAAUUUACAACUGAUUUUUUUUAAAGAAAAUGACCUUUAGAAUAUGAAUUAUCGUCUCCAAUCUUAAAAAAAUACAGACAUAUAAAUAAUUUUUAUGGUUUAGUAAUUAAAUAGAUUUAUCGAUCUAACUAUAUAUACAGUUUUGCAAUCGACAAUAUAUAUAUAAUUUUUUUUGUUUUAAUUUGAUCAAACUAAACGUGUAAUUGAAAAAUAUUCUGGACAAAAUGGUUAUGUUUUAGCAUAAAACUAUUUUUUUUAUUAAUCGUCUUUAAUUUAAUAUAUAUAUCAAACAAAUGGUGGAGAAAAAGUGUCAUCACUAUCUCUUUAAUUUCAUAUAUUUCCUUUUCUUUUUCCUAGUCUUUCUCUCUUUUCCUUUCAUAUUUGUUUUCUUAUGCAAAAGAACCACCGUGAAACUCAUGGUUCCAUCGCAACGGCCGCAAAUCCUUGCACCACCACUGUUCGCACAUCUUUCACCACCACUGCCGCAACUCCUUCAUCGCAUCUGCCCCAACUCCUUGCACCAUCACUGCCGCAACUCCUUCACCGCUGCUACCGCAACUUCUUCACCGACUCUGCCACAACUCCUUGCACCGCCACGCCUCUUCUUUGUCUCAUUUUGAUUGGUUCAUAAAAACAAAAACAAACAAAAAAAUAUUAUAUAAUUAGAAUAAUAUUUUGAGAGUUUUGGAUAAGAACUACCAAUGCUGAUGCUCUAAUAAUGUAUAUAUAUUUUGGACAGUAGCAAAUAGAAGAAAAUAUGGCAGAUACUAGAAAAAGGGAAAUCAUCCAAUAAUCAAUAGAGUAGAUUUACUCAGUGAUCAUCUAAUGGCAUUGGAGGAAGCGAUACACACUGAUUUUAUCCUCAAACCUGAUAAUGUACCAUAAAUUCCCUAAGCAUAAAAGAUGUCUUAACCCAGUGGUAGAGUGCGUGACUUUUAAUUAGUUGGACUCGCGGAUAUGGCAAAGGGUUGUGAAACAUAGAAUCCAUACUCAACAACUUAUAUGUAAGGCCGUCCCUGGAAAUAUGCAAGGCCGACCCUGGAAAUUUGAAGCUGUUUGCGACUGAGUAAGAUUUCAAUAAUCAUUUUUUACAAAUUUGAGGGAAUACGUCUAUGUAAUUUAAAAAAAAAGAAUGGCCACUUGAAGCGAAUGUUUCAUUUGAUUUUAUCCAUGACUGGUUCUACUUACAAAUAUAGAGAUUGGGAGUGGAUCAAUCACUCUUUUUGGUUCAAUGUAUGGUCCCCAUUGGGAAAAUUAUUAAGCUAACGAGACAUAGAGGUUGUGUUGAUCUUGGCAUCCUUUUAAACUCCAUGAUCGAGAAAGCUGUUCAACAAUAUAGACAAGAGGCAUAGAGUAAACAUCUGAUAUUGAUUGAAAUUGAGAUUUUACGCCUCAAAGUAGAGAAUCUGAAUGUUGAGGCAGGUUUCACCCGGCCCUACUCCAGACUCGCUCCAAGAAUCCAAUACAAAAUCAUAAAGGCCUGAAAAUAGGUUCACUAAAAUUGAAGGCUCGAACUAACAUGGUCAAUCGUAAACGUAAGAGAAUCGGGAAAGUAAAUGCGAUCUUUAGAAAAUAUUAGUAUUGACAAAUACAUUUUGUUCACUAUAUAUACUAU